rnacentral:rRNA from 1 species
AUUGAACGCUGGCGGCAUGCUUUACACAUGCAAGUCGAGCGGCAGCGCGGGGGCAACCCUGGCGGCGAGCGGCGAACGGGUGAGUAAUGCAUCGGAACGUAUCCCGGAGUGGGGGGAUAACCUAUCGAAAGGUGGGCUAAUACCGCAUGAGCUCUGAGGAGGAAAGCGGGGGGACCGAAAGGCCUCGCGCUGUGGGAGCGGCCGAUGUCCGGUUAGCUAGUUGGUGGGGUAAAGGCCUACCAAGGCGACGAUCGGUAGCUGGUCUGAGAGGAUGAUCAGCCACACUGGGACUGAGACACGGCCCAGACUCCUACGGGAGGCAGCAGUGGGAAUUUUGGACAAUGGGGGCAACCCUGAUCCAGCCAUGCCGCGUGAGUGAAGAAGGCCUUCGGGUUGUAAG